UGGGGAAUUUUGGACAAUGGGCGAAAGCCUGAUCCAGCAAUGCCGCGUGUGUGAAGAAGGCCUUCGGGUUGUAAAGCACUUUUGUCCGGAAAGAAAUCCUUGGCUCUAAUACAGUCGGGGGAUGACGGUACCGGAAGAAUAAGCACCGGCUAACUACGUGCCAGCAGCCGCGGUAAUACGUAGGGUGCAAGCGUUAAUCGGAAUUACUGGGCGUAAAGCGUGCGCAGGCGGUUUGCUAAGACCGAUGUGAAAUCCCCGGGCUCAACCUGGGAACUGCAUUGGUGACUGGCAGGCUAGAGUAUGGCAGAGGGGGGUAGAAUUCCACGUGUAGCAGUGAAAUGCGUAGAGAUGUGGAGGAAUACCGAUGGCGAAGGCAGCCCCCUGGGCCAAUACUGACGCUCAUGCACGAAAGCGUGGGGAGCAAACAGGAUUAGAUACCCUGGUAGUCCACGCCCUAAACGAUGUCAGCUAGUUGUUGGGGAUUCAUUUCCUUAGUAACGUAGCUAACGCGUGAAGUUGACCGCCUGGGGAGUACGGUCGCAAGAUUAAAACUUAAAUGAAUUGACGGGGUCAUAGCUG
rnacentral:rRNA from 1 species